AGAAAUGAAUUAGGAGAAUUUGGCCAUUAUCCCUGCUGCAUGGGUAUUGAGGAUAUAUGCCGACAGUUGGUGGAAUUUUUUAUUUUAUCUUUUAAUAUCAAUUAUAUCCUUAAAAGAAUUUAAAAUAACGUACAUAUCCUCUUAUUUUAACAUGUUUCAGUGUCGCUUCGACUCACGCGCCACACCAUUCUCCUAACAAACUUUCCCGUGCAGCAAAACUUUUACAUGGUCGGUUUAAAGUACACUAGGUUAUCAUAUCCCUCUCUUCUUCCUCUGGCUUUUCUUAUCUUUUGCAGAGGGGUCACUUCUAAGCUUUUUGUUGGAGGUACUACUCUCUCUUCUCCAUUUCUUUUUCUCCAUUUAAGUUUUACGCCCCGGGAAAUAAAACUGACUGUCAUUUUACACUACCGAAGAGCGAUUAUCGGAAGCAUUUUCAGAAUGCGAUCAAGUUGUUGAAGCUAAAAUUGUAAUGGAUAGAGUCUCAGACAGAUCAAAAGGAUUUGGAUUUGUGACCUUCGCUUCAGCUAGA